GUGUGAUACAGGUGAGGAGAUCCAAUCAGUGCUGUGUGUGUCCUGGAGACUGUAGACCAGGGUGGCAGGGAGAGAUGUGUGUAACAGGUGAGGAGAUCCAGUCAGUGGUGUGUGUCCUGGAGACUGUAGACCAGGGUGGAAGGGAGUCAAGUGUGAUAUAGGUGAGGAUAUUCCAGUCAGUGGUGUGUGUCCUGGAAUACUGUAGACCAGGGUGACAGGGAGUCAGGUGUGAUAC